rnacentral:lncRNA from 1 species
GCGAAGCCCUGUAAGACCAGGGAAAAAAGAAACAUCUGGCCAGAAAAGUGCACUUGUUUACAAAAAAAACUUUAAGAGUCUUCUCCAGCUUCACCAAGUUCUUGGACUAAAAUUAGGCUGAAAAUUAAAAACAAUGUAGAAUCUUGAGAGUGAGGGCAACACAGGCAAAGGAGAAAGAACAUCUUGUUUUUUGCUUGUCCGGCUGCCGCGGGUGCUGGGUCCCCUCCCAAGCACCCCUGCCCUGGUAGGUAGCCCCUCGGGGACUGCACAGCUGCGGCCCUCCCUGAACAGGUGACGGAUGCAGCCUGCACCCCGAGGCCAACCCUGGGGGAAGAGGGUGUUUUCUGAGGGGAACCGGGGAGAGGGAGGUAGCCGUGCUCUGCCACCCUGAUGACAAAGUACCUCUUUCCAGAACGUGCUACAAACAGGGUUCCAACCCCUGGCACAAGGACGCGGACAUCUGCCUACGCUGGGGACAGGGACAGCGCAUCUUUGGAGGCGUGGACAAAACAAUGGCUGUUUUGUAAGGAAGGGACACGGCCCUGGCAGUGCAGACCUGCGCCUAAGCUGAGAAAGAGCUCCUUUUCCGGUACGCAUUGACUCACCGAGGAUGACCGGGCCAAGCCCGCUGGGCUCCUCUACCCUGCCCUCCCCGAGUGCAGGGUGGCGGCCGGCGGCAAUCACAGGACACCGGGACACGCUGCAGCCUUCUGCUCUCCCCAGGGCGCUAACGCGAUUCACGGGUUAAGGCUGAAAGAUGCUUUGAACUUCUUGGCACAUAACUGGCUCAAGUACAGUAAUUAAUAAAUCUUACCGAAGAGGUGGACUAAGGUCAGGAGGCACUCGGAGGCCCAGAGAAGAGCUGGCUGGGCUCGGCGCCUGGGAGCUAACGGGCGCGGCACGCUGUCCGGGGUGUGCAGCCUCCAUGCCGAGCAGUCAAGCUACAGCCGGUGCUCCGGGGCUCUGAGCCACUGCACCCCGGGCUCACGCUCGCUUGCAAGUCCCUGCCUCGAGAAAGCUCCCGGUAACAGACACAAACACCCCGUCACCAAGAAAUUCAAGAGGAGAAUGAAACCAAAUUCAAGGGAAGAAAUGAGAAAGGAAGGUGUUGACAGCUGUCUGACCAUGUACAGCAGCCACCCUCAUCCACGCGGGAUACAUCCUCCUCCCCCUGCGGAUUCUGGAAGCCGCAGACUGUACCAGACCCUGAAUAUUGCUACUCAAAGCAGAAGCUUCCGCCACUGGGCUCCUAAGCCAUCUCAGGAGAAC